GACGAACGCUGGCGGCGUGCUUAACACAUGCAAGUCGAACGGAAAGGCCCUGCUUUUGUGGGGUGCUCGAGAGGCGAACGGGUGAGAAACACGGGAUUAACCUGCCCUUGACUGUGGGAUAACUUCAGGAAACUGGGGCUAAUACCGGCUAGGAGCUCCUGCUGCUUGUUGUGGCUUGGAAAGUUUCGGGGGUUUGGGAUGGACUCGCGGCUUAUCAGCUUGUUGGUGGGGUAGUGGCUUAGCCAGGUUUUGACGGGUCGCCGGCCUGAGAGGGGGCCCGGCCCCAUUGGGUCUGGGAUGCGGCCCAGGCUCAUCCGGGGGGAAGGAGGGGAGAAUGUUCCACAAAGGGCGGAAGCGUGAAGCAGGAACGCCGCUUGCGGGAUGACGGCCUUCGGGUUGUAAGCCGCUUUCGCCGGUAACGACGCGUGGGUGACGGAAAUGAGCAGAGAAGCACCGGCAAAUUACGU
rnacentral:rRNA from 1 species